CAACCUGCCCCUGACUCUGGGAUAACGACCGGAAACGGUCGCUAAUACCGGAUAUGAGACGCUCGGGCAUCUGAGUGUCUGGAAAGUUUUUCGGUCAGGGAUGGGCUCGCGGCCUAUCAGCUUGUUGGUGGGGUAAUGGCCUACCAAGGCGACGACGGGUAGCCGGCCUGAGAGGGCGACAGGCUACACUGGGACUGAGACACGGCCCAGACACCUACGGGAGGCAGCAGUGGGGAAUAUUGCACAAUGGGCGAAAGCCUGAUGCAGCGACGCCACGUGAGGGAUGACGGCCUUCGGGUUGUAAACCUCUUUCAGCAGGGAAGAAGCGCAAGUGACGGUACCUGCAGAAGAAGCGCCGGCUAACUACGUGCCAGCAGCCGCGGUAAUACGUAGGGCGCAAGCGUUGUCCGGAAUUAUUGGGCGUAAAGAGCUCGUAGGCGGUUUGUCGCGUCUGCUGUGAAAACCUCAGGCUCAACCUGGGGCUUGCAGUGGGUACGGGCAGACUAGAGUGCGGUAGGGGUGACUGGAAUUC
rnacentral:rRNA from 1 species